CCUCAUUAGAAAGAAGUAGCAUGUGGCCUUGGCCAUGGAAAUAGGAAUCUGUUAAGGAGUGUGUAACAACUCAGCUGCCCAAUCAACUACUCCUAAAAAUGGAUGGCAUUGGAGG
rnacentral:ncRNA from 1 species